AAUAUGACCAGGACAGGAUUUAGACUAUCCUUGCAUAUUAGAAUUGCGCUUAACGGCUAUUUAAUAUUUUCAAGUUAGCUGCAGACCUGAGUCACAUGCAAAACUGACAGGAUACAUCUUUUCGCCCAUGUUAUUCAUCCUUUGGCUACGUAAUGAUCGUUUUGUUGUCCAGUUACUAAUUGUUUUGACAAGCUGACUAAAUAGAAAUCAUGACAUGUUUAUUACAAAAAGACUCAAUAAUGUGGUGACGCAGCGUGUUUCAUGUUUACUCAUCUAAUGGGCAGAUUUCCUUAAAUACCGCUAUUUUGAGAAAGAACUUCAGUAUCACUUUUGUACUCAGAUAGGUUGUAGGUACGUAUGCCUGAUUUUCGCAUACAUUAUUAAAGUUAGUUUAAGACAUGGGCAAUUAAUGUUGAAGUAUUUAUGUUAAAGAAUAGAAGUUCUGUUAAAUAACUGAGACUAUGUUAGGGAAUAAUAAAGAAAGACAAUGAUGUUUAUAUAUUAUCUUAGAACUUUUAGUACAAUAUUAAAUAGUAGCUAUUGAAGAGAACAGUUGCUGUUGUUGCUGUAGUUUAAUAAUUUUCACCUGUAAUGAUUAUUCUUUUUUUAAUGUUACAGACAAUUAAUAUUCAUAGAUUGUUCUUUUUGAUAUAAUAAAAACACAAAAACUUUCUAUUAUA
rnacentral:lncRNA from 1 species